GCCUGAGAUCACCGACUCCAGCACAGUACCGCGGCCCUAGGCUCCUCAGUGCUCACCAGUUGUUACGUGGCCCUAUUUGUGCAUGUGUCUACUGUUCUUUUCUUCUCCCCUCAGUGCCGAUGUCACCCAUACCUCUGGCUCUGGGACCCCACCCACACCCUCUGCUCUGUUCUCCCUCCACCCCACCCCACCCCACCCCACUCAUGUCUCUCUGCCUCUUUUCAUCUCGCUCCCUGGACAUCCCUGUCUUUCUCAAUGACCCCUGAAUCCCUCCUUCUCAGCCUGAGUGGUGCUGGGUUGAAUUUGGAAAUCAUGGGGCUCAGCAUCCCCUCUACUAAUCCCCUUGGCCUGGGCCAUCAAAUGUGGGACAUUUCUUUUCACCUCUCUUGGCCUCAGUGUUCUGUCUGUAAAACAGGCUUGUGGAGGAGUCAAAGUGCUGAGCAUGUGUGGGCAUCACUGGCAGCAUCUCUGUGGGCAACUGGCUCUGAUUUCCUUCUUUCCCUGUCUUGGACUUUACCUGUCUCUGAAUCUUGGUCUCUCUCCAGUUCUGCCUCUGGCAUGAGGAGGAUGCUUACAGAUGUGUGCCAGGAUGCCCAGCUAAUUUUUAAAAUUUUUUGUAGAGAUAGGAUCUUGGCAUGUUGCCCAGGCUGGUCUUGAACUCCUGGGCUCAAGUGAUUCUCUUGCCUCAGCCUCCCAAAGUACUGGGUUACGGGCGUGAGCCACCACACCUGGAUUGGAGUUUUAAAAGAUUUCUAUAAAAUGAUAGUUAAAGCCAAAAUGUUUGGCCAAUAGUUCAUACCACUCAAUUGGUUCUCAUCAUUCCUUUAUCCUGCGCCCUUAUCUACAUUGAGAGUACUUUUUAUUAGAGUACUCUC
rnacentral:lncRNA from 10 species